rnacentral:rRNA from 1 species
AGAGCGAACGCUGGCGGCAGGCCUAAUACAUGCAAGUCGAACGCACCUUCGGGUGAGUGGCGGACGGGUGAGUAACACGUGGGAACGUGCCCUUUGGUUCGGAAUAAUCCGGGGAAACCUGGCCUAAUACCGGAUGUGCCCUUCGGGGGAAAGAUUUAUCGCCAUUGGAGCGGCCCGCGUCUGAUUAGCUUGUUGGUGGGGUAAUGGCCCACCAAGGCUACGAUCAGUAGCUGGUCUGAGAGGAUGAUCAGCCACACUGGGACUGAGACACGGCCCAGACUCCUACGGGAGGCAGCAGUGGGGAAUUUUGCGCAAUGGGGGAAACCCUGACGCAGCAACGCCGCGUGGAGGAUGAAGCCCCUUGGGGUGUAAACUCCUUUCGACCAAGACGAUAAUGACGGUACUGGUGGAAGAAGCACCGGCUAACUCUGCGCCAGCAGCCGC